rfam:Lactococcus raffinolactis 4877 genomic scaffold, Scaffold1847
AAUAGGUGAGGCAAUAGUAAUUCUAUGAAGUGGGUCAGGUGCGGAAGCAAGCAGCCCUAAGUAGGGUUCCUAUGUGCCUUUUUUGAUGCA